GAGAUCAUGGGCGCAAGCUGAUCAGCAAUGCGCGUGUGUGAGAGGCCUUCGGGUUGUAAAGCACUUUCGGUGGGAAAGAAAAUCCUCUGGUUAAUACCCCUGCGUCUUGACGUUUCCCACAGAAGAAGCACCGGCUAACUCCGUGCCAGCAGCCGCGGUAAUAUACAGCCCGCGGCCGUGGUAAUACGGGGGCCAUCGGGGCCGGUGUUACGGGGGGGAUUUGGGGGGGCUGGGGGGGGGUAUUUCGCCUGUUGUUUUUUUUUUUUGGGGGGGGUUUCAUUCGG
rnacentral:rRNA from 1 species